rnacentral:rRNA from 1 species
GGGAGCUUGCUCCCUGAGAUUAGCGGCGGACGGGUGAGUAACACGUGGGUAACCUGCCUGUAAGACUGGGAUAACUUCGGGAAACCGGAGCUAAUACCGGAUAGUUUCUUUUCUCGCAUGAGAGAAGAUGGAAAGAUGGUUUCGGCUAUCACUUACAGAUGGACCCGCGGCGCAUUAGCUAGUUGGUGAGGUAACGGCUCACCAAGGCGACGAUGCGUAGCCGACCUGAGAGGGUGAUCGGCCACACUGGGACUGAGACACGGCCCAGACUCCUACGGGAGGCAGCAGUAGGGAAUCUUCCGCAAUGGACGAAAGUCUGACGGAGCAACGCCGCGUGAGCGAAGAAGGCCUUCGGGUCGUAAAGCUCUGUUGUUAGGGAAGAACAAGUACGAGAGUAACUGCUCGUACCUUGACGGUACCUAACCAGAAAGCCACGGCUAACUACGUGCCAGCAGCCGCGGUAAUACGUAGGUGGCAAGCGUUGUCCGGAAUUAUUGGGCGUAAAGCGCGCGCAGGCGGUCCUUUAAGUCUGAUGUGAAAGCCCACGGCUCAACCGUGGAGGGUCAUUGGAAACUGGGGGACUUGAGUGCAGAAGAGGAGAGUGAAAUUCCACGUGUAGCGGUGAAAUGCGUAGAGAUGUGGAGGAACACCAGUGGCGAAAGCGACUCUCUGGUCUGUAACUGACGCUGAGGCGCGAAAGGCGUGGGGAGCAAACAGGAUUAGAUACCC